rnacentral:rRNA from 1 species
AUUGAACGCUGGCGGUAGGCCUAACACAUGCAAGUCGAACGCGAAAGUCCUUCGGGAUGAGUAGAGUGGCGGACGGGUGAGUAACGCGUAGGAAUCUAUCCUGUAGUGGGGGAUAACGUUUCGAAAGGAACGCUAAUACCGCAUACGCCCCAAGGGGGAAAGCGGGGGAUCUUCGGACCUCGUGCUAUAGGAGGAGCCUGCGUCGGAUUAGCUAGUUGGUGAGGUAAAGGCUCACCAAGGCGACGAUCCGUAGCUGGUCUGAGAGGAUGAUCAGCCACACCGGAACCGAGACACGGUCCGGACUCCUACGGGAGGCAGCAGUGGGGAAUAUUGCGCAAUGGGCGAAAGCCUGACGCAGCCAUACCGCGUGUGUGAAGAAGGCCUUCGGGUUGUAAGCACUUUCAGUGGGGAGGAAAAGCUGGUGGCUAAUAUCCAUCGGCCGUGACGCUACCCACAGAAGAAGCACCGGCUAAUUCCGUGCCAGCCGCCGCGGUAAUAC